UAAGGGAGCUACCAUUGGCGGGAAAAGAAGUCAAGAAAAUCUAGGAACUGAAGAUUUUGGUAAAGAAAAUCUUAACGUAAAAUAUAAUUUCUUCUAUUAUGCCCUCUGGCCUAAGAUCAAAGACAUUUACUUUACCUGAAUGCCCACAUUCUAAAGAGAUGAUGUCUACCUCCUUUGCUGUAUGUUGAGCACACGAUAGAUACCACACAGUGCUAGGGAUGCAUUUUUAUAAAAUACAUCCAAAUGGAUUUUUGUUUGUUUGUUUAAGCUAGGAAGUAUUUUUUCCUUACAACUGUCCCAAGAUUCAAGAUCUACUUUCAAGUGAUCUGAAACAAGUUCAGAGGAUUUAUGAUAUUUAAUGUACAUAGGGUUUUCUCAGAGACUACCAUAAUCUUCAAUUUGCAUCCCAUAUAUUUAAAGAAUACUUUCAUGGAGUUCCCAUCAUGGCACAGCAGAAACAAAUCCAACUAGGAACCAUGAGGUUGGGUUGCUGGUUGGAUUCCUGGCCUCGUUCAGUGGGUUAAGGAUCCAGCGUUGUUCUGAGCUGCGGUGUAGGUCGCAGAUGUGGCUCGGAUCCAGGGUUGCUAUGGCUGUGGCAUAGGCCAGCAGCUGUAACUCUGAUUUGACCUUUAGCUUGGGAACCUCUGUAUGCCACUGAAUGUGGCCCUAAAAAGCAACGAAGGAAGGAAGGAAGGAAGGAAGGAAGGAAAAAGAAAGAAAGAAACAAAUAAAGAAGGAGAGAGAGAGAAAGAAAGAAAGAAAGAAAAAGAAAAAAAUACUUUCAAGUUCUUGACCUCAUGUUUUAUUUACACAUAUUUUUUAACCUUUCUAUACCUUAUCAGCAUAGCCCUAAUUUAGGACACAGUCACAUAUGGCCACUCUAAUUGAUAAUGAAAAACAACAAGACUCAGUAAUCAAUAAUGCCUAUGUUUUCCUUAUACAUGAUUUCAAAUACAGUAUAUCCUGCAAAGCAAAGAGUUUUCCAAUAUUGUGAAGGUAAUAUUUCCUUAAUCCAGGAAUGAAUUGUUGAGUAACAGGAGAACUAGAGAGGAAAAAAAAUCUCAUCAAAGAUCUGUUCUUAAUUGUUUAUGAUAAAACUAUGCCAUGAUGCCUAUCAAGUAUAACUCAGGGUUUAUAACUAUACUUUUUCAUGAUAGUAUAAUUAAAGUAUGAUGUUAAUUGAUAAAUGGAAGGUAAAGACAUGAUGUCCUUUUAUCACAUGCCGAGUGCACUGCUUCAUCUUAAUCAUUAUUUAUCCAACACCUAAAAUACGCCAGAGGGGAAAUUUACUGCAUUAAUUUCAAUCACUAGACAUUUUAAAGAAUGUUCUGAACCACAUUUAAUACAUUAUUUCAAUUUCCCCUGUUUUCUCAGAAUCAUUCUUUUCAAAUCAGAUAUUCCAGGAAACAUUAAACUGGACAAAUUAAGUCAUUUUAUAUAACGUUCCCUCUGGUGUUUCUAAUUUUCAAAAUAAUUACUCAUCUUUCUCUUUAUAGUCUCUGAAUCAAAAUUACUUAGUUCAACUGUAUUAGGGCUCCCCAGAGAAAGGAAACCAAUAGUAUGGAGAUGGAUAGAUAAACAGAUGGAUAGAGAUAGAUAGAUAGAUAGAUAGAUAGAUAGAUAGAUAGAUAGAUAGAUAGAUAGAUAGAUAGAUAGGUAGGCAGGCAGGCAGGCAGGCAGGCAGGCAGAUAGACAUUCAUAUAGAGAGAAAAAGAUUUAUUAUAAGAUAUUUGCUACAGGCUGACAAGUCCCAAGAUCUGCAGGGUGAGUCAUCCAGCUGCAGACAAAAGGAGAGCUGACGGUGCCUUCCCAGUCUGAGUCAGAGGGUGAACACCAGGAGUCCCAAGGGUAUAUAGCUCUAGUCCAAAGGCCAGUAGGCUCCAAAUGCAGCAAGAGCCAAAGAUUCCGCCCUUGGUUUCAGUCCCCGUCCCAAGCCAGGAAAUAAACCUGUGUUCCACUUCAAAGGCAGACAUGCAGGAAGAAUUCUCUCUUACUCAGACUCAGGAGAGGGUCAGCCUUUUUGUUCUAUUCGGGCCCUCAACUGAUUUGUUGGGACCCACCCACAUUAGAGAGAGCAAUCUGCUUUAUGUGGUCUAUUGAUUUAAAGGUUAAUCUCAGCCAAAAUACCCUCAUAGAACCACCCAGACUAAUGCCUGACUGGAUAUCUAGGCACCCUGGUGGCCGAGUCAAAUUGGCACAUAAAAUUAACCAUCAAUUACUUUCUCCAGAAACAACCAUACUUUCUCCUACUUCUCCCAAAUUUCAGAGUUUUGGAGGAUUAAAGUGUUUCCAAACAAGAAUUACUCUAAAUAAUUAAAAAAUAAAACCUUAUCAGAAGCAAUACAUUUCCUUCUCAAGCAGAAAAGGGAUCCUUUCUUUUUCAUAUUUAUAAAGUUCCACAUUAUUUAUGUUAACUCUCACAAUAAGUAGUGACACCCUCAAAAUAAAGUAAAGGAACAUGUUAAGCUGAAAUUUAAAUACCAAUCUCCAUUUAGAAACUUGUCCCCAAACUCCCAGGAUAUCAUUAAUGCUAAAGGUAAAGACAUCUUACAAAAACGGAAAACGAGUAAGAAUACAUGAAUAAAUUAAUACAAAUGUCAUAGAAUCAUAGGAUUUAAGUUUUCUUUAGAGGCUUGUCAAUGUAUACUUUAAAACACAUACAAAAACAAUCCACAAAUAUUGAACAUCCAUCACG
rnacentral:lncRNA from 1 species